rnacentral:rRNA from 1 species
AAUAGAUACCCUGGUAGUCCACGCCGUAAACGAUGUCGACUUGGAGGUUGUGCCCUUGAGGCGUGGCUUCCGGAGCUAACGCGUUAAGUCGACCGCCUGGGGAGUACGGCCGCAAGGUUAAAACUCAAAUGAAUUGACGGGGGCCCGCACAAGCGGUGGAGCAUGUGGUUUAAUUCGAUGCAACGCGAAGAACCUUACCUACUCUUGACAUCCAGAGAACUUAGCAGAGAUGCUUUGGUGCCUUCGGGAACUCUGAGACAGGUGCUGCAUGGCUGUCGUCAGCUCGUGUUGUGAAAUGUUGGGUUAAGUCCCGCAACGAGCGCAACCCUUAUCCUUUGUUGCCAGCGGUUAGGCCGGGAACUCAAAGGAGACUGCCAGUGAUAAACUGGAGGAAGGUGGGGAUGACGUCAAGUCAUCAUGGCCCUUACGAGUAGGGCUACACACGUGCUACAAUGGCAUAUACAAAGAGAAGCGACCUCGCGAGAGCAAGCGGACCUCAUAAAGUAUGUCGUAGUCCGGA